AAAGUUUUUGUAUUUCUUUUUCAUAUGUUUCCAUCUCUGGAAAUGAGAAAAUUAGCUCUAGUUAUGUCGAAUAUUUUUUAGUUGUUUGGUCAAAAUCUGGAUAAACUGCAGAUCAUUACAAAUGAAACUGUUAAAUAAAACUGUACACAGCAAAUUCAAAAGUGUUAAAUGUUUUGGUGUUAGUAGACUUUAUGCAAAAGCAGAGUUAAUUUUACUCUAAUAGAGUCACAUUCUGUUUAUGUAACUCUGGGGUGUAUAUUAUAAGUAGUUAAAAUCCAGUGUUAAAACAAAGUUUUUUUCCGUAUCAAAUCUAUCGGCGUUAAAAUGGAACCAGUAACUCUUGACUUCUUAACUCUGAACUCCUACAGCGGCUGUAUAACGCUAAAGGAGUUCAUUCACUGACUGACUCCGCCCCCAGAAUCACCGGUUCCCUCCGAAGCGACGUCAAGCGACAGACGCCAAGUCAUUUCAGGACAAUUUACUUUCCACAUGUCCUGAGUUGUUCACUGCGCUUGUACCAGUAUGGUUGCGGAUGAAUCGCCAGUCGUCAACCUUCCCCUCCCGAACCCUACGUGGAUUCUUCGAAGAUUCAAGCGCCAAAAAUGAUUAUAGACCAAUACUGGCUAUUGUACUCGGGGACUGAAGACUGUCCAGUGCAGUAGAGGAGCACGGUGAUGUCUGGGGCCAAAGUUCACGAACAGCCCAACAACCCGAAGACAAUCUGUGUUAGUGAGUGGACAGCUCUGUGAGGGAGUGCAGAAAGGCCCAGUCCCUUAUCAACAGAAACAUAAACUGGGUAAGAAGUGAUGGAUCUGAAUAUCAG